rnacentral:rRNA from 1 species
UACGUAGGGGGCAAGCGUUGUCCGGAUUUAUUGGGCGUAAAGAGCUCGUAGGCGGUUUGUUGCGUCGGCUGUGAAAUCCCGAGGCUCAACCUCGGGUCUGCAGUCGAUACGAGCAAACUAGAGUGUUGCAGGGGAGACUGGAAUUCCUGGUGUAGCGGUGAAAUGCGCAGAUAUCAGGAGGAACACCGGUGGCGAAGGCGGGUCUCUGGGCAGCAACUGACGCUGAGGAGCGAAAGCGUGGGGAGCGAACAGG